rnacentral:lncRNA from 1 species
UUUUAUCAGGAUUUGAUCCUGACAAGUUUGGUUACUUAGACUUAGAGGAUGAAGUCUUCAAGUUAGGGUAUAAAAGUUNGACAAGUUUGGUUACUUAGACUUAGAGGAUGAAGUCUUCAAGUUAGGGUAUAAAAGUUCGGCUUGUUUGGAAUUUAAGGUACCUAAAACCCAUGAUUUGCACCCUGUUCUUGAUGAUAAAGAUGUUAUGUUUUUGCUGCAAUAUUUGUCACCUCAAUGUAAGUUCUUAGAGAUCUAUGUCGAUGAGGGUAACGAUGAGGUGUAUUUUGAGAAAGAUGACACAGAUGCACCUGUGAAGGGGAAUGAGAAAGCUCUUGAGGAGGGUACCAAGUCUGCUAAGGGGAAAGAGAAAGCUCUUGAUGAGGGUAAAGACUCUAAAAUGGGGAAGAAGAAACUUGUAGUGAUAGUGAUUCUGAAGAUGUCGAUUAUGAGAUAGCUUGGGUGAUAGACCGACAAUGAUCGAGCAUCAACCACAAAAGAGUUACUAACUUAAGAAAGCCAAGCGAAGUAGUUGUGGAAGUAAUAUUAUUGGAGAAAAUAAUGUAAUUAAGGCUUGGAUGAAAUUUUUGAUUGAGCUACUGGACAUACCCUUUUUGAUUGAGCUACUCUAUAAACUCUAAUAUCAAGGCCUUGAUGAAAUUUUAUUGCUUCAUUAUAAUUUUACUUUUAUGAAUGGAUUUUUGGA